UUAAACUACUUUUUAUUAUGAACACUAUUGCCACGCCCCUGGUGGUGAUAGAGAAGAGGUUGAGGGCUUUUCUGAAAGCUCAUUAAACUAUCUAACUGGUGCAAUGAAUUGGGUCCACCUACGUUAGCCCAUUUAGGCGCUAGAGCGUUUACAAGGUUGAAACAAAAAUGUGAUUUUUGUUAAAACUACUUUUUAUUAUGAACACUAUUGCCACGCCCCUGGUGGUGAUAGAGAAGAGGUUGAGGGCUUUUCUGAAAGCUCAUUAAACUAUCUAACUGGUGCAAUGAAUUGGGUCCACCUACGUUAGCCCAUUUAGGCGCUAGAGCGUUUACAAGGUUGAAACAAAAAUGUGAUUUUUGUUAAAACUACUUUUUAUUAUGAACACCAUUGCCACGCCCCUGGUGGUGAUAGAGAAAAGGUUGAGGGCUUUUCUGAAAGCUCAUUAAACUAUCUAACUGGUGCAUUGUAUUGGGUUCACCUACGUUAGCCAGUUUAGGCGCUAGAGCGUUUACAAGGUUGAAACAAAAAUGUGACUUUUUUGUAAACUACUGUUUAUUAUGAACACUAUUGCCACGCCCCUGGUGGUGAUAGAGAAGAGGUUGAGGGCUUUUCUGAAAGCUCAUUAAACUAUCUAACUGGUGCAUUGUAUUGGGUCCACCUAUGUCGGCCAAUUUAGACGCUAGAGCGUUAAAAAGUUGAAACAAAAAUGUGAUUUUUUUUUAAUUUACUGUUUAUUAUGAACACUAUUGCCACGCCCCUGGUGGUGAUAGAGAAGAGUUUGAGGGCUUUUUUGAAAGCUCAUUAAACUAUCUAACUGGUGCAAUGAAUUGGGUCCACCUACGUUAGCCCAUUUAGGCGCUAGAGCGUUUACAAGGUUGAAACAAAAAUGUGAUUUUUGUUAAAACUACUUUUUAUUAUGAACACCAUUGCCACGCCCCUGGUGGUGAUAGAGAAAAGGUUGAGGGCUUUUCUGAAAGCUCAUUAAACUAUCUAACUGGUGCAUUGUAUUGGGUUCACCUACGUUAGCCAGUUUAGGCGCUAGAGCGUUUACAAGGUUGAAACAAAAAUGUGAUUUUUUUUUAAUUUACUGUUUAUUAUGAACACUAUUGCCACGCCCCUGGUGGUGAUAGAGAAGAGGUUGAGGGCUUUUCUGAAAGCUCAUUAAACUAUCUAACUGGUGCAAUGUAUUGGGUCCACCUACGUUAGCCCAUUUAGGCGCUAGAGCGUUUAAAAAGUUGAAACAAAAAUGUGAUUUUUUUUUAAACUACUGUUUAUUAUGAACACUAUUGCCACGCCCCUGGUGGUGAUAGAGAAGAGGUUGAGGGCUUUUCUGAAAGCUCAUUAAACUAUCUAACUGGUGCAUUGUAUUGGGUCCACCUAUGUCGGCCAAUUUAGCCGCUAGAGCGUUUAAAAAGUUGAAACAAAAAUGUGAUUUUUUUUUAAACUACUGUUUAUUAUGAACACUAUUGCCACGCCCCUGGUGGUGAUAGAGAAGAGGUUGAGGGCUUUUCUGAAAGCUCAUUAAACUAUCUAACUGGUGCAUUGUAUUGGGUCCACCUACGUUAGCCCAUUUAGGCGCUAGAGCGUUUAAAAAGAUGAAACAAAAAUGUGAUUUUUUUUUAAACUACUGUUUAUUAUGAACACUAUUGCCACGCCCCUGGUGGUGAUAGAGAAGAGGUUGAGGGCUUUUCUGAAAGCUCAUUAAACUAUCUAACUGGUGCAAUGUAUUGGGUUCACCUACGUUAGCCAGUUUAGGCGCUAGAGCGUUUACAAGGUUGAAACAAAAAUGUGAUUUUUUUUUAAUUUACUGUUUAUUAUGAACACUAUUGCCACGCCCCUGGUGGUGAUAGAGAAGAGGUUGAGGGCUUUUCUGAAAGCUCAUUAAACUAUCUAACUGGUGCAAUGAAUUGGGUCCACCUAU